AACGAACGCUGGCGGCAUGCCUAACACAUGCAAGUCGAACGAGACCUUCGGGUCUAGUGGCGAACGGGUGCGUAACGCGUGGGAACCUGCCCUUAGGUUCGGAAUAACUCCCCGAAAGGGGUGCUAAUACCGGAUAAUGUCUUCGGACCAAAGAUUUAUCGCCUUUGGAUGGGCCCGCGUUGGUUUAGCUAGUUGGUAGGGUAAAAGCCUACCAAGGCGACGAUCCAUAGCUGGUCUGAGAGGAUGAUCAGCCACACUGGGACUGAGACACGGCCCAGACUCCUACGGGAGGCAGCAGUGGGGAAUAUUGGACAAUGGGCGAAAGCCUGAUCCAGCAAUGCCGCGUGAGUGAUGAAGGCCUUAGGGUUGUAAAGCUCUUUUACCCGGGAUGAUAAUGACAGUACCGGGAGAAUAAGCUCCGGCUAACUCCGUG
rnacentral:rRNA from 1 species